AGAGGGGGAAGAAGAGUAAGAUCUGUAAGAAAGAAAAGAUAUAGCUAAAAUUCACGGGGAAUGCUAACACUUUGAAUGUGGAAAUGUACAUUGGGCAGAGCCUUUGAUUUAAAAUGUUUUGAAAGAGGUUUGGAAAAUAUUCUUGAUCUAACUUUUUAGCCUUUGAAGCAUUGCUUUGUGACCCCAUUUUCAAAUGUUCAUAAUCCUAUAAAAGAGAUAUAUAAUGAGGUUCUUAAAAGCCCUUGAACAUUGAUUAAAGUACUUUAGGAUCAAAAAAACAUAUUCAUAUUCAUGCGCAAUUAAACAAGAGCCUUUAUAUUAAAACUGGUAACCUGCCAUGGUUUCUGGGCAUUUUGCUUUUUAAUUUUCUCAGACUUAAGUCUAAUGUUUGAUUCCUUUUGCAGCCAAAUCUCCCAGCUAGAUUACCAGGGAUUUCAGGAUUACACUUUCAGUGCCAAAUACACAUGUAUUGGAAAAUAAAUAGAUAAAUGGAUGACUAGGAAACACAGCAGAUUCAGCCUGCCUGAGGAGAACAGAAAGAAAUGGUGAAUUGAAAACUUUCAGAGCCAGGGUUUGACAUCAGCAGAACAGAACAGAAGCAAAGAGCAGGGUACGCUAGGAUUCUCUCAGCUCAAUGUGGACCAAAGAUCGUGCAGACAGUGGCCUGAAGCUUCUCCACUGAUUCUCAAAUGCAUGUCCAAACUACUCCUCUGAUCCCUUGCUUGUGGCUGGGUGAGAAGCAGAAGACCUGUGACUGCUUCUGAAUUACAUGUAAACGGAUUGUGUGGCUGAUACAUACACAGUGAUUGGCUUGCUGGUAUGUUAAGCAUAAUAGAUAAUUGCUGAGCUUACACAGCAAUAUUUUCCUCACUGGGGAGACUCAUGUCAGUCUUUGUCUCCUACUCAGCUGUCAGUUCUCAUGGAAACUUGUUGGAACUUGAUAUCUUUGAGACCAGGUCCUUUUGUCAGAUUUGAUCAAAAUUAGCCAAUUCAUUCAAAAGUUAGGAGGGAGGGGAUGAGAAAUGACAGGUUGGCGGUACAUCUGUGUAAUUUAUUUCCUUACAAAACUGGCACGGAAAUCAAAGUAUUCUAAUUUUCAAAACAGGCAAUCGGAAUUCAGUAGCAUGCAUACAACAGAAGCUUCUAGAAAUUCGGAUAAGUUAUGAGCACAACGUAUUUUGUGGUAAGUCACAAUGUUGAGUGUCAUUGUUUUGGGUUUAUGUACGUAUCUUUGAGUUUAUGGAUAUGUAUCUCCUGUCACCUGAUCACAUUCACUACAGAGAACCUCCCAGAGGAUAAAAAGUAGAUUGUCUAACAGUCUCCCUUUCAGGCUGUUUAUCUAACACAGGCCAAUUUGGGUAAAAAAACAAACACAAUUCCAGCAAUGCAAUGACAAUGACAACAGUGAAGUGUUGAUUGUCCACCUACUUUUUUGGGGUGAAAAAUAUUUUAGCCAAAGAGGAAAGCUGAAGGAAAUAGCUGAUAGCAAAUGACAACUAUGUUUCCACAUCUUCUUAAGCUCUAAUAGGCUUUUUGUUGUAGUGAACUGACCCGCUUCAUACUUUUAAAAUAUAAUUAAAGAAAGAUGCUGCUUUUAUGAACAUUAGGUGGA